GGUCUCAUGGUGUUAUGGUAAGCACUCUGGACUUUGAAUCCAGUGAUCCUAGUUCGAAUCUCGGUGAGACCU
rnacentral:tRNA from 1 species